GCGGACGGGUGAGUAACACGUGGAUAACCUACCUAUAAGACUGGGAUAACUUCGGGAAACCGGAGCUAAUACCGGAUAAUAUAUUGAACCGCAUGGUUCAAUAGUGAAAGACGGUUUUGCUGUCACUUAUAGAUGGAUCCGCGCCGCAUUAGCUAGUUGGUAAGGUAACGGCUUACCAAGGCGACGAUGCGUAGCCGACCUGAGAGGGUGAUCGGCCACACUGGAACUGAGACACGGUCCAG
rnacentral:rRNA from 1 species